rnacentral:rRNA from 1 species
CACGUAGGGUGCGAGCGUUGUCCGGAAUUAUUGGGCGUAAAGAGCUCGUAGGCGGUGUGUCGCGUCGGCCGUGAAAACCUGCAGCUUAACUGUGGGCUUGCGGUCGAUACGGGCAUCACUGGAGUUCGGCAGGGGAGACUGGAAUUCCUGGUGUAGCGGUGAAAUGCGCAGAUAUCAGGAAGAACACCCGUGGCGGAAGGCGGCUCUCUGGGACGGUAC